UACGUAGGGUGCAAGCGUUUGUCCGGAAUUAUUGGGCGUAAAGAGCUCGUAGGCGGUUUGUCGCGUCUGCUGUGAAAACUCGGGGCUUAACCCCGGGCCUGCAGUGGGUACGGGCAGACUAGAGUGCGGUAGGGGGAGACUGGAAUUCCUGGUGUAGCGGUGAAAUGCGCAGAUAUCAGGAGGAACACCGGUGGCGAAGGCGGGUCUCUGGGCCGAUACUGACGCUGAGGAGCGAAAGCGUGGGGGAGCGAACAGG
rnacentral:rRNA from 1 species